GUCCCAGUAGCUUAAUGCUAGAGCGCCGGUCUUGUAAUCCGGAAGCGGAGGUUAAAAUCCACCCUGAGACC
rnacentral:tRNA from 2 species